rnacentral:lncRNA from 1 species
UUUGCAUAAGAGCGAUGUCGCUAAAAAUUGGAUUAAUCCAACUUUUCAACAGUGGCCUAGUUUCCAUAGUCAAACGACAGGGAAAUACUCGAUUGUAGUUGGUUGGUUCAUACAUUCUGAUUCUGAUUAAACUCUCAGUGGAAACUAGGCCAGUGUCGCUGGUGGUAAGAAAGUGAGCAAAUUGAGGGAGAAUUCAGUCACGUGAUCACGUACCGCAGUAACAAGUGACACCAUGAAGUUGUACCUUAAGGCUUCAUAGACAGAGACGGUGGAGAUUUAGGCCAAUAUUACAUGCGUCUGUUUUUUUGUGUACGACGAAUUUUUCAAGCGUGUCAAUUUGCUGUACGACAGAGAGGAUCUCGGACUUCUUUCCUAUAGUCAUGGAGUAUAGAGAAUAGGAGGCUGAACUAGGCUUUGUGGUGGUCAAAAUCAGAGGUGUAGGAGAAAGCGGCACGGAACUUAGUGGACCGAUAUAUGGAGAAGGAUAAGUAAUUUUGGUAUCUGGUGACAAGAGAGUUAAAAAAGAAAUGAUGUUCAGAGUUCAACUAAAGGAGACGUCACAGAUAUAAAGGAGUAUUGGAGCGAAGGAGAGAAAAUACAAGACAGCACAGAUAGAGAAUAAAACGUUGUCAAAUCUUAAGCCAGCCAGAUCUCUGGAAAUAUAUGGUCGUAUUUACGAACACAAGGCGAACAUAGGCGAAGCGAAGACAAGAAUUUUGAAUACGUUGUAUUCGAUUUAGCAGAUAUUGGUUAAGAGACGGAACAUAGACACAUCAACGAAUAAACAAAUAGAUAAAUAAAGUAAUUGAGUUUUUGAGAGCAGGAAAGGAUGGGACAAAGGGGAUAAAGAUAAAUGAGCAUAAGCAGCCCGACACUUGACGGCUACAUGUGACUCGAAUGACUAUGAAGAGUCAACAUGAACAUCAAGAAUCUUAAUAAGGGAGGAACGAGGAAUUGAAGUAGAAUUAAGAAAAAUGUCGAAGGACGGAAUAUGGGAUAACAAUGUUGAGGAACCGACAAUCAACAAGGAUGAUUUAGAAGGAUUUAGAUGCAGGGCAUAUAGUGGACUAUUCGGCAAUAGAUUUUAAGUCUGUAUUCAAAGCAGAACAGGUUGCUAAAGCAUCGAAUGGAUGAAAGGAUUUGAGAAGAAUUAUGUCAUUUGCAUACAUGAAGAGCUCAGAGCACAGAGAAACAUUAGACAAAUCAGAGACAAAAAUAUUAAAGAGUAAAAGUCCGAGAAUGGAAUCCUGGGGAAUACUAGAGAGAAUGGCACGAGUAGAGAAGAAAAGAGGAAAAGGAUAAUAUACGAGAACUUGUUGCGUGCGGUUUGUAAGGAACGAGCAGAUUAACGAGAGAGCAGGAUGAGAAAGAUUGCAUAACUUGAGUUUGACUAAAAGUAGGUCAUGAUUGACGGUAUCGAAAGCCUUUGUGAAAUCCAGCGCAACGAUGGAAGUAAGGCAACAAUUGUCGAAAUUACGAAGCACAAUGUCAAAGAUAUGAAGCAAUUCCUUCGUCGUGCUGUAAGAUCGACGAAAACCAGACUGACAGGAGAGAAGGAUAUUAAAUUGGAGACAAAGGCAUUUUAAGUUGUGAGAAGCAGAUCACACUCAAGCAGCUCUGAGAGGAAAGGGGGAGCAAGAUAGGACGAAAAGAUGAAGAGAAGAAGGGUUAUUAGUUUUAGGAAUGGGAGGAAUAAUUGAGUGUUUCCAGGAGAAGGGAAAGGUACUGUGAGAAAAGAGAAAUUUAACACAUAGAGAAGGGGAUCAAGAGACAUUGAGGAAGGCACAGUAGGAGCGAUCGAAGAGAUCGAGAAGCCCAGAAAGAAGUGGAAGUCAAGCGAAUGCGCUUAAAAAUAUUGUAGAGAUCAUGGGAGAUCAAUCACUGGGAGUGAUUGGAGCAAAAUUGAAGGUCGAGGAAACGUGAAGAGAGGAGGAAAGAAGAUCCUGCCUUUAUUAAAUCAG